rnacentral:rRNA from 1 species
GUGGGGAAUUUUGGACAAUGGGCGAAAGCCUGAUCCAACCAUGCCGCGUGCAGGAUGAAGGCCUUCGGGUUGUAAACUGCUUUUGUACGGAACGAAAAGACUCCUUCUAAUAAAGGGGGUCCAUGACGGUACCGUAAGAAUAAGCACCGGCUAACUACGUGCCAGCAGCCGCGGUAAUACGUAGGGUGCAAGCGUUAAUCGGAAUUACUGGGCGUAAAGCGUGCGCAGGCGGUUAUAUAAGACAGAUGUGAAAUCCCCGGGCUCAACCUGGGAACUGCAUUUGUGACUGUAUAGCUAGAGUACGGUAGAGGGGGAUGGAAUUCCGCGUGUAGCAGUGAAAUGCGUAGAUAUGCGGAGGAACACCGAUGGCGAAGGCAAUCCCCUGGACCUGUACUGACGCUCAUGCACGAAAGCGUGGGGAGCAAACAGGAUUAGAUACCCCUGUAGUCC